AGUGAACGCUGGCGGUAGGCCUAACACAUGCAAGUCGAACGGCAGCACAGUAAGAGCUUGCUCUUACGGGUGGCGAGUGGCGGACGGUUGAGGAAUACAUCGGAAUCUACCUUUUCGUGGGGGAUAACGUAGGGAAACUUACGCUAAUACCGCAUACGACCUACGGGUGAAAGCAUGGGAUCUUCGGACCUUGCGCGAGUGAAUGAGCCGAUGUCGGAUUAGCUAGUUGGCGGGGUAAAGGCCCACCAAGGCGACGAUCCGUAGCUGGUCUGAGAGGAUGAUCAGCCACACUGGAACUGAGACACGGUCCAGACUCCUACGGGAGGCAGCAGUGGGGAAUAUUGGACAAUGGGCGCAAGCCUGAUCCAGCCAUACCGCGUGGGUGAAGAAGGCCUUCGGGUUGUAAAGCCCUUUUGUUGGGAAAGAAAAGCAGCAGGUUAAUACCCCGCUGUUCUGACGGUACCCAAAGAAUAAGCACCGGCUAACUUCGUG
rnacentral:rRNA from 1 species